UACGGGGGGGGCAAGCGUUGUUCGGAAUUACUGGGCGUAAAGGGCUUGUAGGCGGCCAACUAAGUCAGACGUGAAAUCCCCAGGCUCAACCUGGGAACUGCGUCUGAUACUGGAUGGCUUGAAUUCGGGAGAGGGAUGCAGAAUUCCAGGUGUAGCGGUGAAAUGCGUAGAUAUCUGGAGGAAUACCGGUGGCGAAGGCAGCGUCCUGGCUCGCAUCUGACGCUCAGACACGACAGCGUGGGGAGCGAACGGG
rnacentral:rRNA from 1 species